GACGAACGCUGGCGGCGUGCCUAAUACAUGCAAGUCGAACGAACCGCGACUAGGUGCUUGCACUUGGUCAAGGUGAGUGGCGAACGGGUGAGUAACACGUGGGUAACCUACCUCAUAGUGGGGGAUAACAGUCGGAAACGACUGCUAAUACCGCAUAGGACAUAGGAUCACAUGAUCCAGUGAGGAAAGGUGGCGCAAGCUAUCGCUAAGAGAUGGACCCGCGGUGCAUUAGCUAGUUGGUAGGGUAAAGGCCUACCAAGGCGAUGAUGCAUAGCCGACCUGAGAGGGUGAUCGGCCACAUUGGGACUGAGACACGGCCCAAACUCCUACGGGAGGCAGCAGUAGGGAAUCUUCCGCAAUGGACGCAAGUCUGACGGAGCAACGCCGCGUGAGUGAAGAAGGUCUUCAGAUCGUAAAGCUCUGUUGUUAGAGAAGAACAGCGCAUAGAGUAACUGUUAUGCGUGUGACAGUAUCUAACCAGAAAGCCACGGCUAACUACGUG
rnacentral:rRNA from 1 species